CUUGCCCGCUGGCUACAGGUUCAUCUCAGGAUAUCACGCCACCUUCAUUUUUAGCUCUUCUUCUCUCUUUUACCACUUUAUGGCAGGGAUAUUCGAGAUUUUUGUCUGUGAGGUGCAAGCAAAUAAAGCAGAUGCCUGUAUUUUUGUUGCAAAGAGGAAGAUUAUAAUGUAGGCUUUAAAAGUGGUAAAUGAGAGUCGUGAAACUCAAAUCAGAUUUCACAUCAUUUGAGGAAGAGAAAAGUUUUUUCCUCUUUCCUAUAAUAAAGCUUCCAUCCCUUUGCCAUAAAUCCAAGACGCACAGGUUGCCAAUGCGAGGGAAACUCUUUGACAAACAAUCCGUGCGCUCUAUAAAGUGAAUUUAUAUGGCUUUACCCUUCCUUUUCUCAUUGGAUAGAUGGAGCAGUUGUGGCAGAGACCGUGGCACACAGCAGCAGCAGCAGCAGCAGGCAGCAGCUGAGCGGAGAGAGAGGAGCGCGCACGAAAAAACGCUCUUGGAAAGACCAGAGUCAUUCCCAGUACUCUUCGCCGGGCCAGUCAGGACCGCAGACACGUAUGAGCCGAAUGUUGUAUGACAAAAAGGAUGACCCAAAAAGAAAAGCAUAAGGACUGAUUAAAAAAAGAGGGGAAAAAAAAACACCUGAGGACCGUCGCAGCAGAGAGAGCGUGACUGAUUCCCCAUGGAGGAGAACGCAGAGAGGAUUACGCUUAGUGGGAAUGGCCAGGGGCACCUGUGGCUCAUUGGCAAUCAGGGGAAGAUGAAAAGCUCAGCCACCCGAAUCAGCAUCGCCUUUUGGCCAGACCGGCAGCUGGAGUGUGUUGGUGACUUGGUGUGGAACCUGGACUCGGCUGUUGUGCCGCAACUCAUUGUUGGAACAUUCUAUUGUGGUUAGGGAACUUGAUUCCCUUGUGUGGAUCUCGUUUUUAACUCCCAUUGUAAAUAAAGGUAUUUCUCUGCCGCAUGA